GAGGAUGGCCGCCGAACCGCCACGGCGAUGCCGUGACGACCCGAACGACUGCACCUCGCCCGUUCUCGCGUUCUUGACCGCCUAGACCAUUCCCGCAAGCUCAGAGCCGUCCUUGACCUUCUCUUCGUCGCUCCUGAGCCCGAGAGCCGAGCCCCGCGCGCCCCUUUGCCGAGAACAGUCAGCGCCGCCCGCCAUUAGCGCCGCCGCUCGCCGGUCUCCCGUGGAGCUCUCUCCUCCACCCUUCCUCGCGCCCAACAAACCCCGCAAAGAGCUUCCUUGACAUCUGUUGGUGCUCCCCGACCCGCUCGCCGCCGCCCAGGCCUGCUGCACCGCCUCCGCCGCCGCCUACAGCCGCCGCCGGAGUCCUGCUCCGCGGGGAAACCCCAAGCCGGCCUCCCCAACCCCGUCCAAGACCAUCUACAGGUCCCUCUCGACGUCCUCUUGCUCCUCCCCCUAUUCCCCCUCGCCGCCGGCCGCCGUAGGUGCCGGAAUCCGGCCACCACUGCCUCCCCUGUUUCAAACCCCGACCAGGGACCCACGGUACGAUAGAUGAACCACGUGAGGGAUGGGACAUUGAAGCCGAGCCGGAAGACGGUGAAUGGUGGACAUAUCCAGAAGAUGGACGGAUGGAUCCUGAUGUGCACGACCGAAAGAAGAUGUUCGUCGAGCAAGUAUUCUCUAACUAACACUGACCUAGUGUUAAUCCCAGGCAAGCCCCGGUGCAUGUCCUAGUAUUUUAAAAUUAUGACAUCUAUAUAUGUUGCUAUUACUUAUGCAUUACGUUUUAGGAGUUGAUUUGAAACCUAGUUGCAUGAUCCGUAGUUCCUUGAGUUGUACUAGUAUGUAUAGGGCGAUAGAAACGCUAUGCUUAAUAAGUAUCGAUAGAAGUCGAGCGACUGCUUGUCACUCGCGAGAUAUAGGAUGUUUAGAAGACGAGUAAUUUCCAGUUACUCGCGAGAUAUAAGUUAUAUGUAUAGUUAUGUUACAGUAUCUGAGUUAUUGAAAGUGAUAUGGAAUUGUGAGA